rnacentral:rRNA from 1 species
GUCGAGCGGAGUUAUCCCUUCGGGGAUGACUUAGCGGCGGACGGGUGAGUAACACGUAGGCAACCUGCCCGUAAGACCGGGAUAACUCACGGAAACGUGAGCUAAUACCGGAUAAUUGGUACCUUCGCAUGAAGGGAUCAUGAAAGAUGCUUCGGCAUCACUUACGGAUGGGCCUGCGGCGCAUUAGCUAGUUGGCGGGGUAACGGCCCACCAAGGCGACGAUGCGUAGCCGACCUGAGAGGGUGAUCGGCCACACUGGGACUGAGACACGGCCCAGACUCCUACGGGAGGCAGCAGUAGGGAAUCUUCGGCAAUGGGCGAAAGCCUGACCGAGCAACGCCGCGUGAGUGAGGAAGGUCUUCGGAUCGUAAAGCUCUGUUGCCAGGGAAGAACGCUUUCGGGAGGGAAUGCCCGGAAGGUGACGGUACCUGAGAAGAAAGCCCCGGCUAACUACGUGCCAGCAGCCGCGGUAAUACGUAGGGGGCAAGCGUUGUCCGGAAUUAUUGGGCGUAAAGCGCGCGCAGGCGGUCCUUUAAGUCUUGUGUUUAAUCCCGGAGCUCAACUCUGGUACGCAUGGGAAACUGGGGGACUGGAGUGCAGGAGAGGAAAGUGGAAUUCCACGUGUAGCGGUGAAAUGCGUAGAGAUGUGGAGGAACACCAGUGGCGAAGGCGACUUUCUGGCCUGUAACUGACGCUGAGGCGCGAAAGCGUGGGGAGCAAACAGGA